rnacentral:rRNA from 1 species
UCAAAAACAUUGCCACCUGAACUAAAUAAGUGGUACGUCCUGCCCAGUGAUCAUUUCAACGGCCGCGGUAUCCUAACCGUGCAAAGGUAGCAUAAUCACUUGCCCAUUAAUUGUGGGCUAGAAUGAACGGAUAAACGAGGAUAGCCCUGUCUCCUUUAAGCCUCUAAAAAUUAAUAUUUGAGUGAAGAAGCUCAAAUCUAUUCGCAGGACAAGAAGACCCUAUAGAGCUUUAUUUUCAAAGUACUACUUCAGUACUCUACAAUUCGGUUGGGGCGACCAAGGACCACAAAUCAUCCUACAUUCACAAAACCUACAAGUUACUCAAAAGAUCCUAUUACUAGAUCAUCGAAUCAAGCUACCUUAGGGAUAACAGGCUAACUUUCCUAGAGAGCCCUUAUAAAAAAGAAAGGUUGGCACCUCGAUGUUGGCUUAGGACCUCUUCGCGAUGCAGAAGUCGCGACUAGAUGGUUUGUUCAACCAUUAAAAUCCUACGUGAUCUGAGUUCAGACCGG